rnacentral:rRNA from 1 species
UUAGAGUUUGAUCCUGGCUCAGGAUGAACGCUGGCGGCGUGCCUAACACAUGCAAGUCGAACGAAGACUGCGCGGCGGAACUCUCCGGAGGGAAGAUGCGCAGGACUGAGUGGCGGACGGGUGAGUAACGCGUGGGUAACCUGCCCUGUACACACGGAUAACAUACCGAAAGGUAUGCUAAUACGAGAUAAAAUACUUUUAUCGCAUGGUGGAAGUAUCAAAGCUUUUGCGGUACAGGAUGGACCCGCGUCUGAUUAGCUAGUUGGUAAGGUAACGGCUUACCAAGGCAACGAUCAGUAGCCGACCUGAGAGGGUGAUCGGCCACAUUGGAACUGAGACACGGUCCAAACUCCUACGGGAGGCAGCAGUGGGGAAUAUUGCACAAUGGGCGAAAGCCUGAUGCAGCAACGCCGCGUGAGCGAUGAAGGCCUUCGGGUCGUAAAGCUCUGUCCUCAAGGAAGAUAAUGACGGUACUUGAGGAGGAAGCCCCGGCUAACUACGUGCCAGCAGCCGCGGUAAUACGUAGGGGGCUAGCGUUAUCCGGAAUUACUGGGCGUAAAGGGUGCGUAGGUGGUUUCUUAAGUCAGAGGUGAAAGGCUACGGCUCAACCGUAGUAAGCCUUUGAAACUGGGAAACUUGAGUGCAGGAGAGGAGAGUGGAAUUCCUAGUGUAGCGGUGAAAUGCGUAGAUAUUAGGAGGAACACCAGUGGCGAAAGGCGCUUACUGGACUGGAACUGGACGUGAGGCUCGAAAGCGUGGGGAGCGACCCGGAAAGGGUCCCCUGGUAGUCCCCCCCGUAAACGAUGUUUAUUAGGUGUCGGAGGGGAAGGGACCCUUCGGUGCCGCAGCAAAACGCAGUAAGUAAUCCACUUGGGGAGUACGUUCGCAAGAAGGAAACUCAAAGGAAUUGACGGGGGACCCGCACAAGCGGUGGAGCAUGUGGUUUAAUCCGAAGCAAACGCGAAGACCCUUACCAAGUCUUGACAUCUGGAUGACAGGGACGUAACGGUCCCCUUACUUCGGUACAUCCAAGACAGGUGGUGCAUGGUUGUCGUCAGCUGGUGUCGUGAGAUGUUGGGUUAAGUCCCGCAACGAGCGCAACCCUUAUCCUUAGUAGCCAGCGGGCAGGGCCGGGCACUCUAGGGAGACUGCCGGGGAUAACCCGGAGGAAGGUGGGGAUGACGUCAAAUCAUCAUGCCCCUUAUGAUUUGGGCUACACACGUGCUACAAUGGCGUAAACAGAGGGAAGCGAACCCGCGAGGGGGAGCAAAUCCCAAAAAUAACGUCCCAGUUCGGAUUGUAGCCUGCAACCCGGCUACAUGAAGCUGGAAUCGCUAGUAAUCGCGGAUCAGAAUGCCGCGGUGAAUACGUUCCCGGGUCUUGCACACACCGCCCGUCA